CGCUUGCACUGGGGUCCUCCUCAAACCACGAUUAACAACUCCCCUCUAAUCAACCAUCGAAACGACUAAUCAAUCACGACGACCACAACACUAACAAUACUCCGACAACCUUAUCGACCAAAGAAGACUGAUGCGGAACUCAGGCAGGUAGCUAGAACUCAACGGCAGGUAGCUUAGCUAGAGCUGGCCGUAGGAGUGCGCGAGGUAGGCGAGUGCGCCGACGAGCGGCGCGUUGAUGUAGGUGGCCGGCUCCGAGUGCUCGUGGUCGUUGCGCUGGUCGGGGAACUUGUCCUGGAGGUCGGGUCCCCCCACGACGG
rnacentral:lncRNA from 1 species